UACGUAGGGUGCGAGCGUUGUCCGGAAUUACUGGGCGUAAAGAGCUCGUAGGUGGUUUGUCGCGUUGUUCGUGAAAACCUGAGGCUUAACCUUGGGCGUGCGGGCGAUACGGGCAGACUGGAGUACUGCAGGGGAGACUGGAAUUCCUGGUGUAGCGGUGGAAUGCGCAGAUAUCAGGAGGAACACCGGUGGCGAAGGCGGGUCUCUGGGCAGUAACUGACGCUGAGGAGCGAAAGCCAGGGGAGCGAACGGG
rnacentral:rRNA from 1 species